AGUAGUGACAUCCAUAGGAUAAUAGCGAAAGCUAGUCCUGCUGGAGUUUAUAUUUCUCAAAAUUUGUCCUGUUGCUGCCAGGUGUCGUCCCAUUCUGUCAAGGACUUCCAAUACGAGCGAACGUCACCAAGCAACACAGCAAGUCAUACCUAAGGGUGUCAUAUAAAGAUAGAAAGGGCUUUUAUUUAAACCACUAUAUGGAGUUAUUGACGGGACUGGUACAUAGAAG